UCUAGCGGCGGACGGGUGAGUAACGCGUGAGCAAUCUGUCUCAGACAGGGGGAUAACGCAGCGAAAGUUGCACUAAUACCGCAUAAGACCACAGAGCCACAUGGCAUAGGGGUCAAAGGAGCAAUCCGGUCUGAGGUGAGCUCGCGUCCCAUUAGGUAGUUGGUGAGGUAACGGCCCACCAAGCCUGCGAUGGGUAGCCGACCUGAGAGGGUGAUCGGCCACACUGGAACUGAGACACGGUCCAGACUCC
rnacentral:rRNA from 1 species